UACGGGAGGCAGCGGUGGGGAAUAUUGCACAAUGGGCGCAAGCCUGAUGCAGCCAUGCCGCGUGUAUGAAGAAGGCCUUCGGGUUGUAAAGUACUUUCAGUCGUGAGGAAGGUGUUAAGGUUAAUAACCUUAGCAAUUGACGUUAGCGACAGAAGAAGCACCGGCUAACUCCGUGCCAGCAGCCGCGGUAAUACGGAGGGUGCGAGCGUUAAUCGGAAUUACUGGGCGUAAAGGGCACGCAGGCGGUUAAUUAAGUUGGAUGUGAAAUCCCCGGGCUUAACCUGGGAAUGGCAUUCAAGACUGGUUAGCUAGAGUCUUGUAGAGGGGGUAGAAUUCCAUGUGUAGCGGUGAAAUGCGUAGAGAUGUGGAGGAAUACCGGUGGCGAAGGCGGCCCCUGGACAAAGACUGACACUCAUGUGCGAAAGCGUGGGGAGCAAACAGGGAUUAGAUA
rnacentral:rRNA from 1 species